GCAGCCAAGCGUUCAUAGCGACGUUG
rnacentral:snRNA from 1 species